rnacentral:rRNA from 1 species
AGUGAACGCUGGCGGUAGGCCUAACACAUGCAAGUCGAACGGCAGCACAGUAAGAGCUUGCUCUUACGGGUGGCGAGUGGCGGACGGGUGAGGAAUACAUCGGAAUCUACUUUUUCGUGGGGGAUAACGUAGGGAAACUUACGCUAAUACCGAAUACGACCUACGGGUGAAAGCAGGGGAUCUUCGGACCUUGCGCGAUUGAAUGAGCUGAUGUCGGAUUAGCUAGUUGGCGGGGUAAAGGCCCACCAAGGCGACGAUCCGUAGCUGGUCUGAGAGGAUGAUCAGCCACACUGGAACUGAGACACGGUCCAGACUCCUACGGGAGGCAGCAGUGGGGAAUAUUGGACAAUGGGCGCAAGCCUGAUCCAGCCAUACCGCGUGGGUGAAGAAGGCCUUCGGGUUGUAAAGCCCUUUUGUUGGGAAAGAAAAGCAGCAUGUUAAUACCCCGCUGUUCUGACGGUACCCAAAGAAUAAGCACCGGCUAACUUCGUG